rnacentral:rRNA from 1 species
UACAGAGGGUGCGAGCGUUAAUCGGAAUUACUGGGCGUAAAGCGUGCGUAGACGGUCUUGUAAGUCGGAUGUGAAAGCCCCGGGCUCAACCUGGGAAUUGCAUUCGAGACUGCACGGCUUGGGUGCGGAAGAGGGAAGCGGAAUUUCCGGUGUAGCGGUGAAAUGCGUAGAUAUCGGAAGGAACACCAGUGGCGAAAGCGGCUUCCUGGUCCGACACCGACGUUCAGGCACGAAAGCGUGGGGAGCAAACAGG